rnacentral:rRNA from 1 species
GACGAACGCUGGCGGUGGGCUUAACACAUGCAAGUCGAACGGAAAGGCCCUGCGUGCUUGCUGUGCUCGAGUGGCGAACGGGUGAGGAACACGUGAGUAACCUACCCUAGACUUUCGGGUAACUUCAGGAAACUGGGGCUAAUACCGUAUAGGAUCCGCUGCUGGAUUGUGGGCGUUGGAAAGUUUCGGCGGGUGGGGAUGGACGCGCGGCUUAUCAGCUUGUUGGUUGGGUAGUUGCUGACCAAGGGUUUGGAGGAUAGCCGGCCUGAGAGCGUGACCGGCGACAUUGGGACUGAGAGACGGACCAGACUCCUACGGGGGACAGCAGUGGGGAAUAUUGCACAAUGGGAGGAAGCGUGAUGCAGAAACGCCGCGUGCGGGAUGACGGUCUUCGGGUUGUAAACCGCUUUAGCCUGUGACGAAGCGUGAGUGACGGUAAUGAGUAAAGAAGCACCGGCUAACUACGUG